CAUCUGGCUUCUCCUUUUAUAGAUGGGAGGAGCCUUCUGGCUUAAGGAAUCGCCUGGACACCCGGUGUCUUCAAUUAUCCUCCUUUACUAUUGCCUGGACAGCUGGACGGUGGUGCUGCCUUCAAUAAUUGUCCUGGCUGCAGUAGAACUCACUCUUCAGGACGGCGGUGCUGGCUUCAAUAAUUGUCCUGCCUACAGUAGGACUCACUGUUGAAAUUACUAUUUAUUCCUUUUGCCUUGUCCACUUUCUUCACGUGAUACUCUCUGGAUAUAUUCGAAAAUAUAUUUGGUGUGUAUUGUCUUCCAUGCCCGAAUGAUUGAUGUCGCAGACAUCAAGCAAACACUCUGGCAUGCUUAUCCCACGGCGGAUUUGUUGAUAACUCCUUAUCAACACUGGCAGCAUCCUUAUAUGUGGGUAUUCUUGAAGGUCCAUCUUCUCUUAUAUUUAUUCCUGGCAAGUUUGUCUUUACCUCAUUUGCCGUUCUGUAUUUAUGAAUAUAUUCUUUGGCUGCAGGCUCUAGGAAAUAAUUUAUUCCUAAAAUAUUUGUUGCAUAUGAUAGGGCUUGAUCAAUAUCUAGAUAUUUUUUCCAUGAUAUUCCUCCAUCUUUUUCUCUUUCUAUUUGCUGAGCUAUAACUUCUUCAAAUGUUACAUAUAUUCCCGGUGUCUUUCCCCUAUAUAUGCCAUAUAUGGGUUUCUUUUCUAUAUUGCUCGAUAGAUCUUUUGGCUGUAUCUUCCCAUUGAUCAUAUGAAAAUAUUCUGCUAAACUAUUUAAUAUUGCAAGCAUAUAACCUCUAUCAUCUCUCUUAUUAUUAUAUUGGAACCAAAAAUUAUCUAAAAUGCAUUCUUGUAUUUCAUCUAAGACAAUAUGGUCUUUAGGCUUAAAUUUAUAAGUAUUUGGUGGAAAGAUUCUCAAUCUGUUUUCAGUUCCAAAGCUGAAACUUUCACCACCACUAGGACUCAGUCCUCUCUUCAUUCCUGUAAAAUAGAUGAUCGUGAAAAUAUAUCAGACAAGAUAUUAUCUUUACCUUUUAUAUGCUCGAAUAUUACUUUAUAACCAUUUCCUGUAAUGAUAUCUUCAAAUAAAUCCCAUCUCCUAGUUGAACUUUUCUUACUAUUGACUUUAUUAUAAUAUAUACAUAUAGCUUCACAGUUUGUCCUUACUGUGAACUCUUUAAAUCCUAAAUAUAAUCUAAAAGCAUUCAUUGCAUUUAAUACAGCUAAUAUUUCUCUAUCAGUGUUAUUUAUAGCCUUUAACUUAUAUUUUCUUGAAGCGUACCUACAUAUUUUUUCUUCUAUUUUUGGAGAAUACUUGUUCGGCUUUUGUUUUAUUAUAGCUCCCCAUCCUAUUUCAGAUGCAUCUGUCUCUAUAAUAAAAUAAUAAUCAUCUAAAGGUAAUUCUAAAGGUUUUAAUUCUUCGACUUUUUCUUUUAUAAUUCUUACUAACCUUAUAUUCUCAGAAUUAAAAUGCUUCUGUCCAUUUUUUCUUAACUUUGCAUACAAUAGUCCAGCCAAUUUGGCUAAGUUUUCAAUAUAAUUUCUAGCAUAAUUUACUAUUCCUAAAAAUUGCUGCAAUGUUUUCUUAUCAUUCAUAACAUCAGGAAAUUGUAAAAUUUUCUUUGCAAUAUGAUCUUGUAAGUAAAUUUUUCCUUCCCCAAUUUCAUGACCUAAAAAAAUUAUAUUUUCUUUGCAUAUUUCCAUUUUCUUUUUAGAAAGUAUUAAUCCAUGCUGCUCUACCUUUCUAAAAAAUGUUUCUAAAUGAGCUAUAUGUUCUUUAUAGGAUUUUAAAAAGAUUAAUAUAUCAUCAAUGUAAACCAAUAUAAAUUCUUGAUUUUCAUUAAAGAUAUUUUGCAUUUUUCUUUGAAAUAAUACAGGUGCAUUCUUUAAUCCUAAAGGCAUUACUAGCCACUCAAAAUGACCUUGAGGACACGUAAAAACUGUCCAUUCUAUUGAUUCUUCUGCCAUAUUUACUUGCCAAAACCCAGCUUUUAAAUCAAACUUUGAGAAAUAUUUACUUCCUUGUAUUCUAUUUAUCCAUUCUUGCUUAUUUGGAAUAUUAUAACCAUCAUCUAUAGUAUUAUCAUUUAAUCUUUUAUAAUUAAUGACCAUUCUUAAUUUUCCUCUAACUAUUUCUGCAUGAUUUCUUACUAUAAAUGCAGCUGACCUACGAGGACUCCUACUUUCUCUUAUGGCACCUAAUUUUAGUAGUUCUUCAAUAUGCAUCUUAAACUCUUCUAUGUCCUUAGGUGUAGCUUCUAUAGGCCUUGUCUUAAUUAUAUAGUUGGGGUUUAUAAUAUUAAUUUUACAUACUAUACCAUUUUUAUCCCAA